CGCGUAAACAUUACCGGUCCGGCGCAUAACCUCUUUAUAUUUAUAGCGCCGAGACGCCGUGUCUCGUGAUGCUGAUAAACAAAAUUAAGUAGGCGCAUAAACUGGAUUUUUCUUUCUGAAGACGACAAAUUUUCCUAUUAAGCUUCUCCUGCGUGCAUUUCGAAAGUACAGGAUUCUCGGUACAAUAGCACUGCUCGUUUUUCGCGUGUAACAAUUGUAACGCGAUAUACAGGGAUAGUCGCUUUUGCGAGGAGAACAAGACGGAAAUCCAAAGCGCCGAGAUACGCACGGAGCAAAGGAACGUAUACAUGCUCCUUACGGAAGCUCGCUCGCGCGGAGUCCCCCAUGGCUCUUGCGAGCAGAUGGGAUCCUGUUGAUGUUGUUGUCGUCGGGGGCUCGCCAUUCCUGCCCGUUUCGGCUAAAAGGGAUCGUUAUUGAACGCGCUUAUGAAACGGAACGUGCUUAUGAAGGGGGAGAAUGGGACGCGCGCCGCCGAUAUACGUAUAGUAAUAGCAAUAAUAAUAAUCGGCGUCGCGGGAAAAAAAAGGAGAACGGAAGUGUGCUCCGAGGCCACGUGGUAUCCUGAUACAGGUUUCAUUCAAAAGAUGCUACCACGGACCACGCCCAAUUAACGCGCUUCUUGUAGCUCGACAGAGAGAGAGAGAGACUGUCGGAGAUGCGUCGUAAAUGGACUUUAAACAUUUCAUUUAUCACGAACCUAAACCAGGAUGUCUCUGGACGAGGGCUUGCGCGAUACUCGGCUGGACCUUUUGUAUUAGCUGUGGAUUACCGAUG